rnacentral:rRNA from 1 species
UACGAAGGGGGCUAGCGUUGCUCGGAAUCACUGGGCGUAAAGCGCACGUAGGCGGAUCUUUAAGUCAGGGGUGAAAUCCCAAGGCUCAACCUUGGAACUGCCUUUGAUACUGGGUACCUAGAGUAUGGAAGAGGUGAGUGGAAUUCCGAGUGUAGAGGUGAAAUUCGUAGAUAUUCGGAGGAACACCAGUGGCGAAGGCGGCUCACUGGUCCAUUACUGACGCUGAGGUGCGAAAGCGUGGGGAGCAAACAGG